rnacentral:rRNA from 1 species
AGAGUUUGAUCAUGGCUCAGGACGAACGCUGGCGGCGUGCUUAACACAUGCAAGUCGAACGGAAAGGCCCUGCGUUUGUGGGGUGCUCGAGUGGCGAACGGGUGAGUAACACGUGAGUAACCUGCCCUUGACUUUGGGAUAACUUCAGGAAACUGGGGCUAAUACCGGAUAGGAGCUCCUGCUGCAUGGUGGGGGUUGGAAAGUUUCGGCGGUUGGGGAUGGACUCGCGGCUUAUCAGCUUGUUGGUGGGGUAGUGGCUUACCAAGGCUUUGACGGGUAGCCGGCCUGAGAGGGUGACCGGCCACAUUGGGACUGAGAUACGGCCCAGACUCCUACGGGAGGCAGCAGUGGGGAAUAUUGCACAAUGGGCGGAAGCCUGAUGCAGCAACGCCGCGUGCGGGAUGACGGCCUUCGGGUUGUAAACCGCUUUCGCCUGUGACGAAGCGUGAGUGACGGUAAUGGGUAAAGAAGCACCGGCUAACUACGUGCCAGCAGCCGCGGUGAUACGUAGGGUGCGAGCGUUGUCCGGAUUUAUUGGGCGUAAAGGGCUCGUAGGUGGUUGAUCGCGUCGGAAGUGUAAUCUUGGGGCUUAACCCUGAGCGUGCUUUCGAUACGGGUUGACUUGAGGAAGGUAGGGGAGAAUGGAAUUCCUGGUGGAGCGGUGGAAUGCGCAGAUAUCAGGAGGAACACCAGUGGCGAAGGCGGUUCUCUGGGCCUUUCCUGACGCUGAGGAGCGAAAGCGUGGGGAGCGAACAGGUUUAGAUACCCUGGUAGUCCACGCUGUAAACGGUGGGUACUAGGUGUGGGGUCCAUUCCACGGGUUCCGUGCCGUAGCUAACGCUUUAAGUACCCCGCCUGGGGAGUACGGCCGCAAGGCUAAAACUCAAAUGAAUUGACGG